GGCCUACCAUGGUGGUAACGGGUAACGGGGUGUUAGGGCACGACACCGGAGAGGGAGCCUGAGAAACGGCUACCACAUCCAAGGAUGGCAGCAGGCGCGCAAAUUACCCAAUCCCGACACGGGGAGGUAGUGACAAUAAAUAACAAUACGGGGUUCUUUCGGAUUUCGUAAUUGGAAUGAGUACAAUUUAAAUCUCUUAACGAGGAACAAUUGGAGGGCAAGUCUGGUGCCAGCAGCCGCGGUAAUUCCAGCUCUAAUAGCGUAUAUUAAAGUUGCUGCAGUUAAAAAGCUCGUAGUUGAAUUUCGGGACCAAUAUGUCGGUCGUGCCUCGGUACGUACUGGCAUCGUUGGUUUCUCCCUUCUGAAGAACCAUGAUGUCAUUUAUUUGGUGUCGUGGGGAAUCAGGACUGUUACUUUGAAAAAAUUAGAGUGUUUAAAGCAGGCUCACGCUUGAAUACAUUAGCAUGGAAUAAUGAAAUAGGACGUUUGAUUCUAUUUUGUUGGUUUCUAGGAUCGACGUAAUGAUUAAUAGGGAUAGUUGGGGGCAUUAGUAUUCAAUUGUCAGAGGUGAAAUUCUUGGAUUUAUUGAAGACUAACUACUGCGAAAGCAUUUGCCAAGGAUGUUUACAUUAAUCAAGAACGANAGUUAGGGGAUCGAAGACGAUCAGAUACCGUCGUAGUCUUAACCAUAAACUAUGCCGACUAGGGAUCGGAUGAUGUUAAUUUUUUAAUGACUCAUUCGGCGCCUUACGGGAAACCAAAGUGUUUGGGUUC
rnacentral:rRNA from 1 species